GACGAACGCUGGCGGCGUGCUUAACACAUGCAAGUCGAACGGAAAGGCCCUGCUUUUGUGGGGUGCUCGAGUGGCGAACGGGUGAGUAACACGUGAGUAACCUGCCCUUGACUUUGGGAUAACUUCAGGAAACUGGGGCUCAUACCGGAUAGGAGCUCCUGCUGCAUGGUGGGGGUUGGAAAGUUUCGGCGGUUGGGGAUGGACUCGCGGCUUGUCAGCUUGUUGGUGUGGUAGUGGCUUACCAUGGCUUUGACGGGUAGCCGGCCUGAGAGGGUGACCGGCCACAGUGGGACUGAGAUACGGCCCAGACUCCGACGGGAGGCAGAAGUGGGGAAUAUUGCAGAAUGGGCGGAAGCCUGAUGCAGCAACGCCGCGUGCGGGAUGACGGCCUUCGGGUUGUAAACCGCUUUCGCCUGUGACGAAGCGUGAGUGACGGUAAUGGGUAAAGAAGCACCGGCUAACUACGUG
rnacentral:rRNA from 1 species